AUUUGAAUCAGGUGACGCUUUAAUACCAUCUCAGCAAAAAUGUAAACUGUGACUUCUAUGAUGAGAAUCUCCUCCUUUAAUUAACUCAUCAACCUCUAGUGGCAAGAAUUUGAAAAAGUAAAUUUAUACUCAGACUUUAACAGAGAAGCAAGAAGUUGCAGCUCAAUGUACUAUGAAGCUGAGACAGAAAUGGAGAUCCCCCAGCCCCACCUCUCUGGAACAGGAAAGAUGAUUGAGGAAGAAACACAGAUGGGUGACGAGAGACAUCAGACACCCACCCUCCCAGGUAAAAGAAGCAAAAUUAUAAAUGCAUAAUCAUAUCUCUAAUAGAACAUCUAGGACGGAACACUAGAGACCAAUGACAAAAUCAUGGAAAACACUCAAGACACAGAAGGAGAAAAAAAGCAAGGGGCCAGCUUGGCUGAGAUUGGCUGGGAGCCUGAAGGGGCUUGGUAUUGUGUGAAAAGCCUCAGCGAAGGAGUUUCAGUGGUUCACAUACCCAGUAUGGACUUCUGCAAUCUGAACCAUGGGAAAACUCCUUUAACCUAAUGAACUGUGAUACUAGCAUGGGUGGUGAUUUGGAGACCACACAAGGCCAUAGCAGCAGAGAACUCAUAUAAGGUUACUCAACCCCUUGCCAAGACCUGAGUGCUGUGGCAAGGCACCACUUGGGGAGCACAGCCAUCACAGGACUACAUCCAGCCCCCUUAUCUCCACAUCCUAGAAGAUCCUGCUGACAUUUCCCAGUGUCCACCUGGAGGACUAUAGUGGCAUUACACUGGCUAGACCCAAAGAUGUUGCAUGUCCCCAGGACUCUAGCUCACAGGGAUUACUACCCACUGUGGAAAGGACAGUGCAACACACAAAAAAAUGGUAGCCCAUGGGACAAAGGAAACCAAAGUACGUGCUUCCCAGAGUCUGAGAGAUCUCUGUGUGGGACUGUGAGAAGUUACCCUGCCCUCAACAGUUGCACAAACUCUGUGCCCAGUUUUAUAAGCAGAGAGUAAAUUCUCCUACCACUGGCAGAGCAGCCUCUGCACUAAGGCUCAGAAGUAGAGAAGUAGAGACUAGGACUUCUCCUCCGCCUCAAAACACCCAGCUCGUGUCGCUGCCAGAUGCUUUAGCAAGUGAGCUGGAGGGCUGCCUAUUUGAGGUGGCACAGGGAGCAGGAGCUCCCGAAAGCAGCAUGUCUGGAGUUGUGGGCAGCAACCCCACACUGCAGCCACCACUUAAAUCAGCCUGCAUCACUUGGGUCCAAGAGGGUCAUACCACCACUAGCACUGCUGUAAGCCACACCAUGCUGGCUGCCCAGGGACCUGAGCACCAGCCCACCCACUUGGCCCACCACUGCCAUGACUAGAAUUCAGGCAAGCCACCUGGAAUCAGCCCGCUGGUAACCACCAACACAAGUUCCCCUGUGCACUGCCUUUGGGCACAAAGAUAGGCAUGCUCAGGCCACCUCUGCAACCACCAGGACCUGAAGACUGGCCCACGUGGCUUCCUAGUCCCUAGCACAACCUUAUCAUAGCCUUCAGUAAUAACCACACUCUAACCCUUUGAGGAAAUCACAGAAAGCACUGACACUGUUUACAGCUAAAUAAAUCUUACAGAGACUGUACCAGUACAGACACCCAGAAUUAAAGCCAAAGCGCUUAAUCCAACCAACACCACCAAUACAUCUUCAGAAAAAUGUCCUGUAUGAAAGUGAAUUCAGAAACAAGAAUCAACUGUUACACUAGAUAUGCAGAUAUCAAUGUAAAGACACAGAAAACAUUUUCAAAAGCAAGGAAAUAUGACACUUCCAAAAGAACACAAUGAUUCUUUAGCAGUAAAUUCUUAACAAAAAAGGAAUUUUUGAAAAAAAAUUCAAAAUAUGAAUUUUUA